CAACAUGUAGAAUAGCUGAAAAGAAAAAGGGAUACAAAGAGCUGCACAAAGCAGGAGAACCAUUUGAUUUAAAAAUAAACCUGAAAAGAGCCAGGUUAUGUUUAAUAAAUUAACCAAAGCAAGGGAAAAAAGUAUAUCUGGAGAAGAACUAGACUUAAUAG